rnacentral:lncRNA from 1 species
GUAUCCUAUGUUUCACCAAAUUUUGAGUUCUUAAAAAAGAGAAAUGAAUAAGACUCAAUCAAAUAAGUGAAACCACCAUAUACGGAUCUCUUUCAUUCUUGUUAUAUUCUUGUUACAGUCACCUGAAUAAUCACGGGGGCGGGGGGGAGGUGGUAACGACAGGAGGGGAGUGUGGGUUCUGUGUGGUUCUGGGUCAGUGCUUCCCUAGAUGUCAGCUGCUGGCUGUUCCUGGAUGAGGAGAUUGGAAAAUGAACGUGUUCACACUGCAAGAUUUGGGCAGAUACUCAGAAUUGGGGCUCACAGGGCACUGGGCCUGUAGAGCUGGGCUAACAGACCGGGCCAAAAGCUAACCUGAGGGCUGUGCUGGUGACCGGUGAAGACGGAAGAUGCCAACAAUAAUGUUGGCCUUAGCGGGAGGCGAAAUACUAGGACUUGGAUCUGGAACAGUGGCAAGGAUCAGAUUGCAGAGGUCGUACAGACCGUGUGUAAACAGAAACAUGGAACAUGCUGCUGAAGACCGAGGUCAAGGCCAAAACCCCGGAGUCCCUGACAUGAAUACAGCUCCAUGCAAACUCCUCGGAAGAAGCUAUUCAUGUAAGUACAGGGGUGAUCCUGUUACCUUGAGUGAAGUCUGGAAUCAAUAUAUGUACAUGAGCAGCGUAUUAGGGCUCGCCAGAAAAACAUAACCUACUCCUAUAUCUAUUCUCUAUCUGCAUAUCUAUCCUAUCUAUCUAUCUAUCUCUGUGUCUAUCUAUAUCUGUCUCUAUCUCUAUAUCAAGAAAGAUUUCUCUUAAGGAAUUUGCUCAAAAAAAAAAAAAAAAAAAAAAAAAAAAAAAAAAGGAAUUUGCUCACAUGCUUAUUGAUGCUGAUCAGUCCAAAAUAUGCAGGCUGUGCUGGCGGGCUAAAGACCCAAAGAAGAGAAUUCUUUCUUUCUCAGGAGCAGUCAGUCUUCGGUUUUACUCAGGUCUUCAUCUGAUUGGAUGAAGCCCACCCACCUUAUGGAGAGUGUUCUGCUCACCAUAAAGUCCAUCAAUUUAAAUGUUAAUUUCAUCCCAAACGCCAUCAUGGAACUCUUCAGAAUCAUAUGUGAUCACAUAUCUAGGCACCGUGGCCCAGCCAAGUUGACACAUAAAAUUAACUAUCACAAGUAGGCAGAAGGUGCCCCAGGAACCAAUACAAUUAGUCAGAGCUAGGCUCUGAAGACGACAUAACCCCUUUUCUCCUCACUAGCUGAAAUACUCUAAUUAAGCAGAGUAAGCAUGAGGUAAUGGAUUCAGGAGAGAAAGCUCUAAGCUACUGCACUGAAUUCUAAUUUUUACUUGCUUCCAUCCUCAUCCUCACCCUCCAUCCUUAGGAUGUUCCCCUGUUCUGCUAGGUCAACCAGUCAUUAUCUCUUAUUGACCAAUGCCUGGGAUCUAUGUCUGGCAAGGAAUAAUGUGGUAUUGUAAAGAUUUACUAGGCCAAAUCCAAAUCAAGGAUCAUAUGUGUCAUUUACUCAUUUAUUCAUUCUUUUAUUCAUCUACUUAACAAAGCUUUAUUAAGAAAGUACUAAAUGCCAAAAAUUCUUCUAGAUUUUGGGAACUGAACAAGCCUUGAACAAGAUGGAUGUAGUUCUGGUCUUUAUGGAGUAUACUGCCCUUGAGGUAAAAUGGAUAAUAAACCAAUAGUUGUUCAAAUAAUUACUUUAUAGAUGUAAUAAAUAGCAUGGAGAAAAAGUACAGGGUACAUGGCAGGAUAACACAAGAAUUAGUAAAACCAGCAGACACUGGAAGCUGAUAAUCAAACCUAUUUCCUUAUAUCCCAAACUAGUCCAUAAAAUCCCAUUUAUAUAAUGCUCCAUAACCUUUUCCUUAUGGCUUGAAACACAUGAGUAUAGUGACUCUGAAAGCUAUGUGUUGAAAACAGCAGAACCACACAUUGGAAGCAGCUUGGGUUUCCACCAAAUGCCAGAAUUGAACUGCUACAUGUAAGAAAUGAAUUUAUAUUGGGCUUGGCCACAGUAAUGUUGGUAUUUGUUUAUUCUAAGCUAGAAUUACUGUAACUAAUAUGGAAACUAAUUCUGAAACUUGAAGUGCAGUGCUAUCUAUGACA